GGUCACCAGAGGUUUCAUUUUUCCUUUGCUUUCAGAGUAUCCUGUCGUACAUCUGGUCUUGACAAUACAAAAAGGUGUAGCAUGGCCUGGGAUUUUGUUUUAAAGGCAGUACCUACUUGUAUAGUCCAGGGUGGCUUUGGGAGCCUAGGCUUGCCUGUGGCACACUGCCUGGUGGGGCCGUCAGCUGACGUCAGAGACAUCUAGAGAUGGUCUGACCUCUUCUGUCUGCAUCUUAGGAAUUUCUAAAUCUCAAUACCUAGGUGUUCUGAGAAGGCAGAUGUGAACUCAGACCCUUACACACCAUUUCCUCAGGGGGUUGCAGAUUUUAAUGGCAGGCACCAAGGCCUCAGUAGAAGCCAGGCAGAGUGUGUGUAAAGUGCUGACGGGGUGGCUAGUCCCAAGGGUACACCCUGCAAGAGGCAGCCAGCUCCCAUGUUCCAGGGUAUCGGUGUUCAGAUGGAUAACUUAUCUCCCGGCCAGUUUUGGCCUUGGGGCUUCAAAGCUUAUUUUCUGUGUUAGAGCAGAGGGGCAGCAGACUGUUCAUGAGUGAGAGUCUGGGGAGGGGCUUUAUCAUGGGUUCAAGGCUAUCUGUCCUCCAUGGCAGACUGCUUAUCUCACCCUUGCAAGGCUCUGGCCUGGAGUCACAGACUGGGGCCGGGGAGCUGGAGAAGUGGCUCAUCCGAUCAAGUGCCUCCUGUGCCAGCACGGAGACACGAGUUGGUCCCCAGAACCCGUGGAGAGAGCCGGAAGCUGGGCAGGUGUGCACUGUAGGAGGCAGGCAGACCCCUUCACGGCUGGCUGGCUCCACAAGCUGGAUUCAUACGCUAUGAGUUCACUGAGACCCAACUCAGUCAGGUGGACAGCAACAGAGGAGACUCCUACUUCAGCUCUGGGCCGCCACACCGUCUCACAUACAUGUGCACCCACAGGAACAUAAGUACACACGAUACAGAUGCCAAAUAAGAACAGAGGGUGGGGAGUCAGAGGCAGCUAGAGGAGACUGACAUUUCAUUAUCUGUAACGGGUUUUUGCUUGGGUUGGUUUUGAGAUGGUGGCUCAUUCAUUGUUGCGGCCUAGGAUGUCCUUGAGUGAUCUUCCUGCCUCCACCUCUUGAGUGUUGGAACUCUAGGCUUGAGCCACCACAUCUGGCAAUAAACCCCUAUUGGAAAAUAACUGCACUCAUUUGUUUACACACCUUCUGGCUGUUUAUGCUACAACAGCAGUUGAACAGUUGUGACAGAGACUGGAAGCCUACAAA